GGUCCCGCGAGUAGUCCAAGCCGUCACGAGAAGUGGCGGCUGGGGGCCUUGGCUCGGACAAACGGAAGUGUAGGUGACUGUCGGGGACUUCGCCGCCAAGCUGGGAACCGGGGAGAUGGCCGAGACCGACCCCAAGACCAUGCAGGACCUCACCUCGGUGGUGCAGACCCUCUUACAGCAGAUGCAAGAUAAAUUUCAGACUAUGUCUGACCAGAUCAUUGGGAGAAUUGAUGAUAUGAGUAGUCGCAUUGAUGAUCUGGAGAAAAACAUCGCAGACCUCAUGACACAGGCUGGGGUGGAGGAACUGGAAGGUGAAAACAAGAUACCUGCCACACAAAAAAGUUGAAGGUGAGGAAGGACACAGUUGUAUUAAUUUUUAAGAAGAGUACAGAGAGUUAAUGUGUUGCUGAUAAAUUGCAUUGAAAUCUGGAACACCAUUUUUCCAAGCCAAGAGAAGACCAGAUGGCUUUUUGCAACUAACCACUAUGUGUAGACAGGUUUUAUAUUUUAAAGUGUGCAUUCUUACCACAUCCCAUAUACUUAGUUUAUAGAGUGAUUUCCCCUCAGUUUCUCAAAUGUGGUAUCUUCACAUCUUGGAACUUGGUCAGUUGUGCUCUUCAUUAUUAAACACUAAAACUUUGGCAGUUCCUACAUAAAAUUGUCAAAUUUUUUAGUGUAUUUUUGUGAAGUCAUUUUUUUCUGCCAUUGGUUUUGUAGUAGUUGCUGUUCCGUAGAAGUUUCUGUAUAAUAUUUCACUAGAUAAGUGGUAAGCCCUUCAAUUAUUGUUAGAUCUGGUGAAGUAAGGUAUUUGUAGAGUUUAAGGUUCUUUCAUUUUCAGCACAAAGUGACUGUUGAACUAACACUAGUGUGUCGGCAAUACUGUACUUUUCAAAUGGCUAAAACAUUUAAAAGUUUGUUUAGUAAUAUCUGUCAUUACUCUGUUGCCAAAACUCAGAAUUGAACCAUAACUUAUGACGUAAGUUUGUGGGAUCAGAUGCUAAAGUCACUGAGAAGUAACCACUGCCACUUUACUGCGUUAGCAUUUUUUAAAUACUGAAAGUAACUGAAUAGCCUGAUGUACAGAGGCUUUCGUUCAUUAAGAGUUUUGCAUGAGAUUUUAAUACUUCAGUAGGACCUUACAUUGUUCAUCUACAAUGGUUACCAUAAAAAAUCUGGCAGGAAUUUGAAACAACUACUCAUCCUUUCUUUGAGCUGCUGUUUGGAAAAGAGAGAAGAGAAAGCUAUUUAUCUGUGCCAGUCACUUGGCUAGAAUAUGAUGAAUGAACGGUGGUAGGCUCAAGUUUUUAAAAGGUUUUCUGUUGCAAAUUCUUGCAGAAUAACAGUUUUAUCAGUGGUGAUAGAAGAGGAGGUAGUCUUGCUACUCAGGAACGUAGUGUCAGGAGUGCUGAGCCGCAGCCAGCGCCCACGGCCUGGAAGGUGACCCACGUGGUCACCACAGCGAUUUCAUCCAGCAGAAACUGAAUGAGCGAAACAGUUGGAGGCGGUGCGGUCCUUUCCAGUACGAUUUUCUUUAAAGUUUCCUGUAUCACCGGGCUUGUUUAUAUUGCAAACUUAAUAUUAAAUAUUUUUCCUAUUUAUAAAUUAUAUGAGGAACACAACAGUCAGAUUUUUCUGUAAUAAAGUUGCCACAGUUGUUCCCCAGCCGCACAGUCCUGCAGUUGGGCAGAUUAGUGAGACUAAGCUCGCCCCACAGUGGCCCACUCCACCUGAGCCAGGCAGCAGAAGCCUGCAUGCAGGACACUUUGGAGCCUUGUGAAUGGCAAGCGAAAGUGAUAAGGCUGCUCGUGGAUGGAAGAGAUGGGAUCUUAGGAGUUGGCUUCCUUAAAUGUCAGACUUCAGAGGCGCCUGUGUGUCCCGUCCCAGUCGUCCCCCUCCCCCCCACUUCCUUCCCCCUGGCCAAAAACAUCUGCCGUAAAUAAAGGUGCCUGAAAUCCUGCUACUGGA